UAUUUGCAAAUUUGCAUAUGCAUCCACACAUCAUUCAUCCACCUUGUAUCUCUCAGCGUCAUUUCUGUUUUCUUUUUAGGAGCUAAAGAUUCUUUCUUGCCCUCUGUGAGGAGUCAACCCAGCAAUGGAAAACUUCAUUCUCUAUGAGGAGAUUGGCAGGGGAAAAAAGACAAUUGUCUAUAAAGGGCAGCAGGAGGGAACAAUCAACUUUGUGGCCAUCUUCUGUAUGGAAAAGUGCAAAAGACCAGAAAUUACCAAUUGGGCUGGUGCUCAUCACUUGAACCCCACCUUCAUUUCCAGAUUUGUGCUGGUUAAUGGGAGAGGAGAAUCUCUUUCCAUUUGUGUGCUCGGGGUUCGAACUGGGAUCCUCAGAGCUCCUUCUCCCGAGUAGCCAUCCUAACAGGUGUGAUGUUUACAAAGAUCAUGCAUUGUUAGCCUGUUUCCCUAUGGCCAGUGUUCCUCC